AAACUUUUGACCAGUUAAAAAUGUUGAUCUCUCUUUAAGACGUUUUUAAGUAUUUAAUUUUAGUUUUUUAAAGUAAUAUCACAAUCUCCUACAGAUUUUCAUCCAGGUUACAUGGAAAAUGGAUGUGGUUUUAUGGAGAAUAUAUCUGGGGAUGCGACUACAGUAAUGAUGGUGGAAAUAUUUGCCUAAAUGGAUGGAAAGACACUUUAUUUGGAGAUGUGACUACAAUAAUGAUGGUGGAAAUAUUCGGCUAGAUGUUUGGGUUUAUCUGGAGACGAGACAAUGAAAAUAUUUUGCUCGAAAUGCAUCUAAAGUGCAUAUGACGAAAAGGAAUGGCAGAUAGGAACUACUGGUUUCAUGUAUUCCUUCUACGAUAAACUACAUGGAGAUUUAUCUGCUACUUAUCUGUCAUAAUUGCAGCGUUCAGGUCUUCAACAUUUAUUUAUGUUCUAUUGACUGGUCUCGUAUCUUCGGUGCUUUUCAUUGCAAAUUUCAUUGUUAUCUUUUCGUAGCUCAAUCCCAGCACGAGAUCAGUUGACGAAUGAUAGAAUUUUAUGUCGUUUAAUUCUGUAGUAAUGUUUUAAGACUACCUGUUCUGGAAAUCUGUGUGCCUGAGAUGUUAAGUUGAAAUUGUAUACUACUAGAAUAGGUAGGUAAUGUUUUUUAAUAAAGGUAUGAGCUAUAUAUAUAUUAAAAUUUUGACCGAAAUUUUAAUUACAGUGAAAUUUAAGUUAAACGUUUAAGUACUUUUUACGCAAACGUAGUUAGUUUUGACAGAUAAGCUUAAAUUCUAUAAAAUAAACAGCCAAAUUACAGGACGAUUACGGUUCUUAAUUUAAAUAGAAACACCAGGAUUAUACACAGUUGUAUAGGUCUUCUUGAAGGGGCUUUAGAGCGAAAGUAGUAUCAUUCGCGCUCCAAAUAUUAACUGUUAGUUUGAUAGCAGGAAUACUGAACAAAUUUAUCAUCGGUGCAUUACUCAAAUCUACAAUCGCAAUUUGACAUUUUUAAAAAGAGUAACCGAAAAUUCUCUACGCUACUAAAUUCGAGGUUAAAACUUAAUUGAUAUUCGUAGACUUCUAAACACUAUUAAUUUAAUUACUAUUAAUUUUUCGAAAUUUUUCUGUUUGAUUUGGAGAUUGAUAUAGCGCUAACAUAAAAGCUUGUGUAGGACGGAAAAUUUUGAAAUUUCUGAGCAAGUGUGGAGUUCGAAUUGGUGGCGGCAGGUCUGCUCCCUCUUCCCCACUUGUACGUUGCUGUACGUGAAAACUCUCCGCUCUGACGUACUUUAAUUUAGAACGUUCUUUAUGUUUAGAAAUUUAUGUCUUCAAAGUGAGAUAUUGUAACUUAGAAAUUGAA